UACGUAGGGUGCGAGCGUUGUCCGGAAUUAUUGGGCGUAAAGGGCUCGUAGGCGGUCUGUCGCGUCGGGAGUGAAAACUCAGGGCUUAACCCUGAGCCUGCUUCCGAUACGGGCAGACUAGAGGUAUGCAGGGGAGAACGGAAUUCCUGGUGUAGCGGUGAAAUGCGCAGAUAUCGAGAGGAACACCUGCGGCAAAGGCGGGUUGCUGGGCUGACACUGACGCUGAGGCGCGAAAGCUAGGGGAGCGAACGGG
rnacentral:rRNA from 1 species